CUAAAUAAUAUAAAUUCUUUUGUAGGACUGUCAACUGAUCUCAUAUGUCCGAGACAACUGUGUGUGCUGCAGAGAUAACAUAAAAUGCCCUGCCUACCCCACUGAUCUUGUGAUUGCCAUGGACAUGUCUGAAGAUGUGUCUCCU